rnacentral:rRNA from 1 species
UACGGAGGGUGCAAGCGUUAUCCGGAUUCACUGGGUUUAAAGGGUGCGUAGGUGGGCUAGUAAGUCCGUGGUGAAAUCUCCGAGCUUAACUCGGAAACUGCCGUGGAUACUAUUAGUCUUGAAUAUCGUUGAGGUAAGCGGAAUAUGUCAUGUAGCGGUGAAAUGCUUAGAUAUGACAUAGAACACCGAUAGCGGAGGCAGCUUACUAAGCGAUUAUUGACACUGAGGCACGAAAGCGUGGGGAUCAAACAGG